rnacentral:rRNA from 1 species
UACUGCCCCAUAGUCUGGGAUACCACUUGGAAACAGGUGCUAAUACCGGAUAAGAAAGCAGAUCGCAUGAUCAGCUUUUAAAAGGCGGCGUAAGCUGUCGCUAUGGGAUGGCCCCGCGGUGCAUUAGCUAGUUGGUAAGGUAAAGGCUUACCAAGGCGAUGAUGCAUAGCCGAGUUGAGAGACUGAUCGGCCACAUUGGGACUGAGACACGGCCCAA